rnacentral:rRNA from 1 species
ACUCCUGCGGGAGGCAGCAGUGGGGAAUAUUGCACAAUGGGCGCAAGCCUGAUGCAGCCAUGCCGCGUGUAUGAAGAAGGCCUUCGGGUUGUAAAGUACUUUCAGCGGGGAGGAAGGCGAUAAGGUUAAUAACCUUGUUGAUUGACGUUACCCGCAGAAGAAGCACCGGCUAACUCCGUGCCAGCAGCCGCGGUAAUACGGAGGGUGCAAGCGUUAAUCGGAAUUACUGGGCGUAAAGCGCACGCAGGCGGUCUGUCAAGUCGGAUGUGAAAUCCCCGGGCUCAACCUGGGAACUGCAUUCGAAACUGGCAGGCUAGAGUCUUGUAGAGGGGGGUAGAAUUCCAGGUGUAGCGGUGAAAGGCGUAGAGAGCUGGAGGAAUACCGGUGGCGAAGGCGGCCCCCUGGACAAAGACUGACGCUCAGGUGCGAAAGCGUGGGGAGCAAACAGGAUUAGAAACCCGGGUAGUCCCAUGAU